ACGGAAGAUGCGAGCGUUAUCCGGAUUUAUUGGGUUUAAAGGGAGCGUAGGCGGGCUUUUAAGUCAGCGGUCAAAUGCCACGGCUCAACCGUGGCCAGCCGUUGAAACUGUAAGCCUUGAGUCUGCACAGGGCACAUGGAAUUCGUGGUGUAGCGGUGAAAUGCUUAGAUAUCACGAAGAACUCCGAUCGCGAAGGCAUUGUGCCGGGGCAGCACUGACGCUGAGGCUCGAAAGUGCGGGUAUCAAACAG
rnacentral:rRNA from 1 species